CUACGGGCCGCACCAGUGAGGAAUAUUGCACAAUGGGGGGAACCCUGAUGCAGCAACGCCGCGUGGAGGAUGACGCAUUUCGGUGUGUAAACUCCUUUUAUAUGUCAAGAAAAUGACGGUAGCGUAUGAAUAAGCACCGGCUAACUCCGUGCCAGCAGCCGCGGUAAUACGGAGGGUGCAAGCGUUACUCGGAAUCACUGGGCGUAAAGGACGCGUAGGCGGGUUGGAAAGUCAGGUGUGAAAUCCUACAGCUUAACUGUAGAACUGCACUUGAAACUUCUAAUCUAGAGUAUGGGAGGGGGAAAUGGAAUUAGUGGUGUAGGGGUAAAAUCCGUAGAUAUCACUAGGAAUACCUAAAGCGAAGGCGAUCUCCUGGAACAUUACUGACGCUAAGGCGUGAAAGCGUGGGGAGCAAACAGGAUUAGAUACCCGGGUAGUC
rnacentral:rRNA from 1 species